UACCUAUUAAUGUGCAAAUUCUGCCAUGCCAAGGUACUGGUAAACCUCAACCUCAGUUCAGUUCAUUCAUGACAGCAGCUUGGAUGCAGCCACAUCGGUUGCAGUAGUGGUGGGUCUUUAUAAAACUACCUGUGAUAAAACACUUUUUCCAA